rnacentral:rRNA from 1 species
CCUACGGGAGGCAGCAGUGAGGAAUAUUGGUCAAUGGGCGGGAGCCUGAACCAGCCAAGCCGCGUGAGGGAAGAAGGUACAGCGUAUCGUAAACCUCUUUUGUCAGGGAACAAAGGCGGGGACUAGUCCCCGGAUGAGGGUACCUGAAGAAAAAGCAUCGACUAACUCCGGGACAGCAGCCGCGGUAAUACGGAGGAUGCGAGCGUUAUCCGGAUUUAUUGGGUUUAAAGGGUGCGCAGGCGGCCUGUUAAGUCAGCGGUAAAAGCACGGGGCUCAACCCCGGCGAGCCGUUGAAACUGGCGGGCUUGAGUUGGAGAGAAGUACGCGGAAGUCGCGGUGUAGCGGUGAAAUGCUUAGAUAUCGCGCAGAACCCCGAUUGCGAAGGCAGCGUACCGGCUCCACACUGACGCUGAGGCACGAAAGCGUGGGUAUCGAACAGGAUUAGAUACCCUAGUAGUC